rnacentral:lncRNA from 1 species
GAGGGAGAAGUACCACCAAUCUUUUACCGAGGGAUGGCGUUUGAAGGUGUAGAAGUUCCUAAACAAAGAAAGAGUCAGCCGAACUUUGGCUAAACUACAAAGAGAAAGAAACCCUAUCAAAAACCUAAAGGAGUUCGACACGACGGAAACUAGAGAAAUGUUCAGAAAAUGAAAGAGAGCAACGACAAAGGAUGGCAGUGGAAGCCGAAGUCCGACACGGAAGGCCUCCUGGUACAGACAGAAGC